AUGGCUACACAAACCGUUGAAGAUAGUUCUAAACCUAGGCCAAAACGAACUGGUGCAGGUAGUUUACUAAAACCCUUGAAUUCAGAAUAUGGGAAAGUCGCCCCGGGUUGGGGGACUACUCUGGGUUUAUUUGUUAACAUUGCCUUUACGUAA
rnacentral:rRNA from 1 species